rnacentral:rRNA from 1 species
UACGGGAGGCAGCAGUGGGGAAUAUUGCACAAUGGGCGCAAGCCUGAUGCAGCCAUGCCGCGUGUAUGAAGAAGGCCUUCGGGUUGUAAAGUACUUUCAGUCGUGAGGAAGGUGUUAAGGUUAAUAACCUUAGCAAUUGACGUUAGCGACAGAAGAAGCACCGGCUAACUCCGUGCCAGCAGCCGCGGUAAUACGGAGGGUGCGAGCGUUAAUCGGAAUUACUGGGCGUAAAGGGCACGCAGGCGGUUAAUUAAGUUGGAUGUGAAAUCCCCGGGCUUAACCUGGGAAUGGCAUUCAAGACUGGUUAGCUAGAGUCUUGUAGAGGGGGUAGAAUUCCAUGUGUAGCGGUGAAAUGCGUAGAGAUGUGGAGGAAUACCGGUGGCGAAGGCGGCCCCUGGGACAAAGACUGACGCUCAUGUGCGAAAGCGUGGGGAGCGAAACAGGAUUAGAUACC